rnacentral:ribozyme from 1 species
UGCCCAGCAAGUCCUAUACCUACCUCCUCGCGGUAUUGGCUGGGGUACGAGCAACCUAAGGAAAGA